AACGAACGCUGGCGGCAGGCCUAACACAUGCAAGUCGAACGAAGUCUUCGGACUUAGUGGCGGACGGGUGAGUAACGCGUGGGAACGUACCCAGAGGUACGGAACAACAGUUGGAAACGACGAGUAAUCCGUAUACGCCCUUUUGGGGAAAUAUGUAUCUGAGAAGGAUCAUCCCUCGUAAGAUUAGAUAGUUGGUGGGGUAAUGGCCUACCAAUUCUACGAUCUGUAGCUGGUCUGAGAGGAUGAUCAGCCACACUGGGACUGAGACACGGCCCAGACUCCUACGGGAGGCAGCAGUGGGGAAUAUUGGACAAUGGGCGCAAGCCUGAUCCAGCCAUGCCGCGUGUGUGAUGAAGGCCUUAGGGUCGUAAAGCACUUUCGCUAGAGAUGAUAAUGACAGUAUCUAGUAAAGAAGUCCCGGCUAACUCCGUGCCAGCAGCCGCGGUAAUACGGAGGGGACUAGCGUUGUUCGGAAUUACUGGGCGUAAAGCGUACGUAGGCGGAUCAGAAAGUAUGGGGUGAAAUCCCAGGGCUCAACCCUGGAACUGCCUCAUAAACUCCUGGUCUAGAGUUCGAGAGAGGUGAGUGGAAUUCCGAGUGUAGAGGUGAAAUUCGUAGAUAUUCGGAGGAACACCAGUGGCGAAGGCGGCUCACUGGCUCGAUACUGACGCUGAGGUACGAAAGUGUGGGGAGCAAACAGGAUUAGAUACCCUGGUAGUCCACACCGUAAACGAUGAAUGCCAGUCGUCGGGUAGCAUGCUAUUCGGUGACACACCUAACGGAUUAAGCAGUCCGCCUGGGGAGGACGGUCGCAAGAUUAAAACUCAAAGGAAUUGACGGUGGCCCGCACAAGCGGUGGAGCAUGGGGUUUAAUUCGAAGCAACGCGCAGAACCUUACCAUCCCUUGACAUCCCCAACGCGAUUUCCGGAGACGGAUUUCUUCAGUUCGGCUGGUUGGGUGACAGGUGCUGCAUGGCUGUCGUCAGCUCGUGUCGUGAGAUGUUGGGUUAAGUCCCGCAACGAGCGCAACCCUCGCCCUUAGUUGCCAGCAGUUCGGCUGGGCACUCUAGGGGAACUGCCGGUGAUAAGCCGGAGGAAGGUGGGGAUGACGUCAAGUCCUCAUGGCCCUUACGGGAUGGGCUACACACGUGCUACAAUGGCAGUGACAAUGGGUUAAUCCCCAAAAGCUGUCUCAGUUCGGAUUGUCGCCUGCAACUCGGCGGCAUGAAGUUGGAAUCGCUAGUAAUCGCGUAACAGCAUGACGCGGUGAAUACGUUCCCGGGCCUUGUACACACCGCCCGUCACACCAUGGGAGUUGGGUUUACCCGAAGAUGGUGCGCUAACCCUCGGGAAGCAGCGAGCCACGGUAGGAUUAGCGACUGGGGUGAAGUCGUAACAAGGUAGCCGUAGGGGAACCUGCGGCUGGAUCACCUCCUUU
rnacentral:rRNA from 1 species